rnacentral:misc_RNA from 1 species
UUUCCGUAGGUGAACCUGCGGAAGGAUCAUUAAAAAUGUGGUACAAUUGUUGUACUAAUUAAUCAUCCUACCUUUGUGAAUUUGUUUGUAUGAAUUUUUUUAAAUGGUCUUUCCUAAGUUGGAUUGUAGUAAAAUACAAAAAGACUUAGGGAAUGACUUUUUAAAAGACUUUUUUUAAAUUAAAACUUUUUGUAUUCAUUUGUCUAAAAUUUAUUUUUAUAAUAUAAAAACAACUUUUGACAAUGGAUCUCUUGUUCUCGCAACGAUGAAGAACGCAGCAAAAUGCGAUAAGUAGUGUGAAUUGCAGAAUACGUGAAUCAUCGAAUCUUCGAACGCAUAUUGCACUUUUUUAGUUUACUAAAAAGUAUGUCUGUUUGAGUAUCAGUAAAUAUUCUCACAAAACAAUUUGUUUUGUGGUUAUGAGUGUUUUACAACGAUAAACAAGUUGUUCACUUUAAAUUCUUUUUAAUUGAAUUUUACCAAUUCAUAAAUUAAAAUUGGAUAAAAUUUUCCUUUAACGAGAAUAACUAAACAAUUUUAAAUUUUAUGGAUUAAUAAACAUUCAUCAAAGGAAUCUAUACAACAAUAACUUGAUCUCAAAUCAGAUAAGAGUACCCGCUGAACUUAAGCAUAUCAAUAAGCGGAGGAAAAGAAACUAACAAGGAUUCCUUAGUAACGGCGAGUGAAGCGGAAGAGCUCAAAUUUGAAAUCUUCAAGGUUUGACCUUGACGAAUUGUAGUUUAUAGAAGUGUUUUCUGUUGGAGUUUUGGUAAAGUUCUUUGGAAUAGGACAUCAUAGAGGUGAGAAUCCCGUAUUUGACCAUGACUUUCCAGCUGUGUGAUACACUUUCAAAGAGUCGGAUUGUUUGGAAUGCAGUCCAAAUGGGUGGUAAAUUUCAUCUAAAGCUAAAUAUUGGCGAGAGACGAUAGCGAACAAGUACCGUGAGGAAAGAUGAAAAGAACUUUGAAAAGAGAGUUAAACAGUACGUGAAAUUGUCAAAAGGAAGCGUUUGACACCAGUGUUGUUUUCUCGAAAAUCAAUUUAAUGAGUUCUUGUUUUUAAGUUAUUGUGACUUUAUCAGCGCAUUUCUUAUUUUACUUGACUCAUUGAAUGCACUUUUCGUUUAACAAGUCAACAUCAAUUUCUUUGGUGGUAAAAGUUUAAAGGAAGGUGGCUGGACUUCGGUUCAAGUGUUUAUAGCCUUUUUCUAUGCCAUCGGAGAGAUUGAGGUCUGCAGCGUAGAUCCUUCGGGUUAGAUACCUUUGUGCUAAGUUAUAGUUUUUUAUAGACAACUUGUUGACUACAAUUAACCCUGUAAUUUACUCGCUUAGGCUAUUUUACCUACGUUGGAUGUUGA